rnacentral:snRNA from 1 species
AACCUUGCACUGGAGCAUAUCCAUACCUGUGAAGUAAUAACUGAGGCUGGAUUAUUGCUGAUUGAAAACUUUUAACCAAUCACCGCGAGACGCCUUUAACAAGGCGGAUCGCAAUUUUUGGAACGGCCUCUGGCC